rnacentral:rRNA from 1 species
UGGGGGAUAUUGCACAAUGGGCGAAAGCCUGAUGCAGCGACGCCGCGUGGGGGAUGAAGGCUUUCGGGUUGUAAACCUCUUUCGCUAUCGAACAAGGCCCGCUUAGGGUGGGUUGAGGGUAGGUGGAGAAGAAGCACCGGCUAACUCCGUGCCAGCAGCCGCGGUAAUACGGAGGGUGCAAGCGUUAAUCGGAAUUACUGGGCGUAAAGCGCACGCAGGCGGUUGAUUGAGUCAGAUGUGAAAUCCCCGGGCUUAACCCGGGAAUUGCAUCUGAUACUGGUCAGCUAGAGUCUUGUAGAGGGGGGUAGAAUUCCAUGUGUAGCGGUGAAAUGCGUAGAGAUGUGGAGGAAUACCGGUGGCGAAGGCGGCCCCCUGGACAAAGACUGACGCUCAGGUGCGAAAGCGUGGGGAGCAAACAGG